UGGGUUCGAUUCAGCUCAGAUUGAACUGGCGGGAUGCUUUACACAUGCAAGUCGAAACGGCACGGACUUCGGUCUGUGGCGAGGCAGAACGGGUAGCAAAUGUAUCGGAACGUGCCUAGUAGCGGGGAUAACUACGCGAAAGGUAGCUAAUACUGCACAUUAUUCUUCGGGGGAAAGCGGGGACCUUCUGCCUGCACUAUUAGAGCGGCCGAUAUCGAUUAGCUGGUUGGUGGGGUAACGGCUCACCAAGGCGACGAUCCGUAGCUGGUUUGAGAGGACGACUAGCCACACUGGGACUGAGACACGGCCCAGACUCAUGGGAGGCAGCAGGGGAAUUUUUGGACAAUGGGGAAACCCUGAUCCAGCCAUCCCGCGUGUGCGAUGAAGGCUUCGGCUAGUAAAGCACUUUUGGCAGGAAGAAACGGCACGGGAUAAUACCCUCGUGCAACUGACGGUACUCGCAUGAAUAAGCACCGUAUUAACCACGCCAGCAGCCGCGGGAAUAUUGGGUGGCAAGCGUUAAUCGGAAUUACUGGCGUAAAGCGUGCGCAGGCGGUUCGGAAGAAAGAUGUGAAAUCCCAGAGCUUAACUUUGGAACUGCAUUUUUAACUACUGAGCUAGAGUGUGUCAGAGGGAGGUGAAUUCCGCGUAGCAGUGAAAUGCGUAGGAUAUGCGGAGGUGCACCAUGGCGAAGGCAGCCUCCUGGGAUAACACUGACGCUCAUGCACGAAAGCGCGGGGAGUAAACAGGAUUAGAUACCCCAGAAGCCCAAUGCUUCUAAAUGAUGUCAACUAGUUGUUGUGGGCCCUCGGGCCUUGGCGCAGUUAAUUAUGUGAAGUUGACUGCCUGGGAGUAAUGGUCGCAAGAUUAAAACCCGUGCCGAAUUGACGGGGACCCGCACAAGCGGUGGAUGAUGUGGAUUAAUCUGAUGCAACGCGAAAACCUUACCUCAAUUUUUUGACAUGUCUGGAAUCCCGAAGAGAUUUGGGGGAGUGCCUGCAAGAGAACCGGAACACAGGUGCCGCAAUAUAAUGUCAGCUCGUGUCGUGGAGAUGCUGGGUUAAGUCCCGCAACGAGCGGCAACCUUGUCGCCGAAGCGUUAUUGAAAGGCACUCUAUCAGCCCGCCGGUGACAAACCGGAGGAAGGUGGGGAUGACGUCAAGUCCUCAUGGCCCUUAUGGGUAGGCUUCACGACGUCAUACAAUGGUCGGGAUAGAGGGUCGCCAACCCGCGAGGGGAGCCAAUCCCAGAAACCCGAUCAGAACUGGAUCGCAGUCUGCAACUCGACUGCGUGAAGUCGGAAUCGCUAGUAAUCAUGGAUCGGUAAUAUCGCGUGAAUACGUUCCCGGGCUCCUGUGCUGUCUGCCCGCUUUUCACACCACGUGGGAGUGGGUUUUACCAGAAGGGAAGAAUGAACCGUAUGAGUGGCUGAUUACGCUGGGUAGUAUCCAUGACUGGGGUGAAGUCGUAGCGCGUAG
rnacentral:rRNA from 1 species